rfam:Triticum aestivum genome assembly, contig: Triticum_aestivum_CS42_TGACv1_scaffold_425608_5BS
UGUGUACUCCCUUCGUUCCAAAAUACUUGACUUCCAUUUGUCCAAAAAUGGAUGUACCUAUAUACUAAAACAUGUCUAGAUACAUCUAUAUUUUGACAAAUAGAAGGCAUGUAUUGUGGAACGGAGGGAGUAGAAU